rnacentral:rRNA from 1 species
CAUGCCGUAAACGAUGAAUGCUAGGUGUUGGAGGGUUUCCGCCCUUCAGUGCCGCAGCUAACGCAUUAAGCAUUCCGCCUGGGGAGUACGACCGCAAGGUUGAAACUCAAAGGAAUUGAC